CUCAUGGAGAGUUUGAUCCUGGCUCAGGAUGAACGCUGGCGGUAUGCUUAACACAUGCAAGUCGAACGGGAAGUGGUGUUUCCAGUGGCGAACGGGUGAGUAACGCGUAAGAACCUGCCCUUGGGAGGGGAACAACAACUGGAAACGGUUGCUAAUACCCCGUAGGCUGAGGAGCAAAAGGAGAAAUC
rnacentral:ncRNA from 1 species